rnacentral:rRNA from 1 species
UAGGGAAUCUUCGGCAAUGGACGAAAGUCUGACCGAGCAACGCCGCGUGAGUGAAGAAGGUUUUCGGAUCGUAAAACUCUGUUGUUAGAGAAGAACAAGGACGUUAGUAACUGAACGUCCCCUGACGGUAUCUAACCAGAAAGCCACGGCUAACUACGUGCCAGCAGCCGCGGUAAUACGUAGGUGGCAAGCGUUGUCCGGAUUUAUUGGGCGUAAAGCGAGCGCAGGCGGUUUCUUAAGUCUGAUGUGAAAGCCCCCGGCUCAACCGGGGAGGGUCAUUUGAAACUGGGAGACUUGAGUGCAGAAGAGGAGAGUGGAAUUCCAUGUGUAGCGGUGAAAUGCGUAGAUAUAUGGACGAACACCAGUGGCGACGUCUGCUCUCUGGUCUGUAACUGACGCUGAGGCUCGAAAGCGUGGGGAGCAAACAGG